rnacentral:rRNA from 1 species
AUGAACGCUGGCGGCGUGCCUAAUACAUGCAAGUCGAGCGAACGGACGAGAAGCUUGCUUCUCUGAUGUUAGCGGCGGACGGGUGAGUAACACGUGGAUAACCUACCUAUAAGACUGGGAUAACUUCGGGAAACCGGAGCUAAUACCGGAUAAUAUUUUGAACCGCAUGGUUCAAAAGUGAAAGACGGUCUUGCUGUCACUUAUAGAUGGAUCCGCGCUGCAUUAGCUAGUUGGUAAGGUAACGGCUUACCAAGGCAACGAUGCAUAGCCGACCUGAGAGGGUGAUCGGCCACACUGGAACUGAGACACGGUCCAGACUCCUACGGGAGGCAGCAGUAGGGAAUCUUCCGCAAAGGGCGAAAGCCUGACGGAGCAACGCCGCGUUAGUGAUGAAGGUCUUCGGAUCGUAAAACUCUGUUAUUAGGGAAGAACAUAUGUGUAAGUAACUGUGCACAUCUUGACGGUACCUAAUCAGAAAGCCACGGCUAACUACGUG